rnacentral:rRNA from 1 species
AGUCGAACGAGAAGGUGUAGCAAUACACUUGUAAAGUGGCGAACGGGUGAGGAAUACAUGGGUGACCUACCCUCGAGUGGGGAAUAACCAGCCGAAAGGUUGGCUAAUACCGCGUACGCUUCCCAGUCUACGGGUUGGGAAGGAAAGCGAUGCCGUGGGUAUCGCGCUCAAGGUUGGGCUCAUGUCCUAUCAGCUUGUUGGUGAGGUAACGGCUCACCAAGGCAACGACGGGUAGCUGGUCUGAGAGGACGAUCAGCCACACUGGCACUGCGACACGGGCCAGACUCCUACGGGAGGCAGCAGUAAGGAAUAUUGCGCAAUGGGCGAAAGCCUGACGCAGCGACGCCGCGUGGGGGAUGAAGGUCUUCGGAUUGUAAACCCCUUUCGGGAGGGAAGAUGGAACGAGCAAUCGUUCGGACGGUACCUCCAGAAGCAGCCACGGCUAACUUCGUGCCAGCAGCCGCGGUAAUACGAAGGUGGCAAGCGUUGUUCGGAUUCACUGGGCGUACAGGGAGCGUAGGCGGUUGGGUAAGCCCUCCGUGAAAACCCCAGGCCUAACCUGGGAAGUGCAGAGGGGACUGCUCGGCUAGAGGACGGGAGAGGAGCGCGGAAUUCCCGGUGUAGCGGUGAAAUGCGUAGAGAUCGGGAGGAAGGCCGGUGGCGAAGGCGGCGCUCUGGAACGUCCCUGACGCUGAGGCUCGAAAGCGUGGGGAGCAAACAGGAUUAGAUACCCUGGUAGUCCACGCCCUAAACUAUGGACACUAAGUGUCGGCGGGUUACCGCCGGUGCCGCAGCUAACGCAGUAAGU